UACGGGGGGAGCUAGCGUUGUUCGGAAUUACUGGGCGUAAAGCGCACGUAGGCGGCUUUGUAAGUUAGAGGUGAAAGCCCGGGGCUCAACCCCGGAAUUGCCUUUAAGACUGCAUCGCUUGAAUCCGGGAGAGGUGAGUGGAAUUCCGAGUGUAGAGGUGAAAUUCGUAGAUAUUCGGAAGAACACCAGUGGCGAAGGCGGCUCACUGGACCGGUAUUGACGCUGAGGUGCGAAAGCGUGGGGAGCAAACAGG
rnacentral:rRNA from 1 species